AGUGAACGCUGGCGGUAGGCCUAACACAUGCAAGUCGAGCAGCAGCACAGGAGAGCUUGCUCUCUGGGUGGCGAGUGGCAGACGGGUGAGGAAUACAUCGGAAUCUACUUUUUCGUGGGGGAUAACGUAGGGAAACUUACGCUAAUACCGCAUACGACCUACGGGUGAAAGCAGGGGAUCUUCGGACCUUGCGCGAUUGAAUGAGCCGAUGUCGGAUUAGCUAGUUGGCGGGGUAAAGGCCCACCAAGGCGACGAUCCGUAGCUGGUCUGAGAGGAUGAUCAGCCACACUGGAACUGAGACACGGUCCAGACUCCUACGGGAGGCAGCAGUGGGGAAUAUUGGACAAUGGGCGCAAGCCUGAUCUAGCCAUACCGCGUGGGUGAAGGAGGCCUUCGGGUUGUAAAGCCCUUUUGUUGGGAAAGAAAUCCAGCUGGUUAAUACCCGGUUGGGAUGACGGUACCCGAAGAAUAAGCACCGGCUAACUUCGUGCCAGCCGCCGCCGUAA
rnacentral:rRNA from 1 species